UUUUUUUUUAUUAUUAUUUUUUUGAGUCUUUAAAUUUCAGCUAUUAUUUAUCCCUUUUUAAAUCUGAAGAUUUAAAACAGAAGACACCAGAAUAAUGCAAAAUUUUCAACAUUUUCUCUUUCUGAAAACAGGCAGAAGAUGCUUAGAGAAAAAUUAUAUAUGGAAUAGUUGGAUGCAUAUUCUUUCUCCCUGUCUUCCUUUCCUCCCCUCCCAAGGCAUCUACUAGUAAAUAAGCAAGGGAUUUUCAUUUGGCUCAGUUAAAGGGUUCUGAUGAUGCAAAAAUUAUUUUAUCAUGCAUUACAAAUCAUUUUACCUAGUACUGUUUGAAGAGAUUCAGAAUUAAAUAAUAAGAUCCUGGGGUUUGAAAGCUUUGAAAGCAAUACAGAGAUGUAGAUCUGAAUCUACUCCAUACUAAAGACAGUACACUCUUUAUUUCCCACAAACAAGAGUAGUGUUUAUGUUUUUUCAUUAAGUGAAGGAAAAUAUAUAAAAGGGCAGCUGAAAAGAAGAUCCAUGUCAUUAAACAAAAGGAAAUAACAUUUACCAAGAUACUUAUGUUUAUUAAGGAAGUGCUGAGAGUGUGCUUUUGUUCAUGCCAUGAAAAAAAAAAACAUAUUUUCAUGCAUUUUUCUCAUGUCACAUUGUAAAAAUUCAGCUAUAAGUUAUACUAUGAUCCCCUUCAGUUUACUCCCAGUGUACUUAGAGAAAAUACAUAGUGACUGUAGAUUUUGAAUUGUAAAGCCAAAGCCUAGAGAAUUAAUGAGCACUAUAGUAAUGUAUUACAGACAAAAUCCUGCAAAACUGUAGGCCAAGUCCUGCCAAAUAUCUUCAUCUCAGCUGUCAGACCAUGUAACAGGAAAAGUUUUAUGCUUCAGCUGUAUGCAGCAAGUUCUGUCUGGAUUAUGCUAAUAUAGAAACACUUUCCUAUUCCACUUUUAAUACCAGCUUCAAAAUGAGAUUGCUAGUGUGAUUGGUUUUAUGGGAGAGUCAUAAGCCUACAGGCAUAUUACUGAUGUUGUUUAUGGCAAGGAGUUACAAAUUCAGACAUGAAAGCAAAGAAAUUCUCAUUAGCAUUAAUAUUUUAAGAAGUCACGUAAAGAUUCAACAUUAACACUGCAUUGAAAAGGUCAGUAUUAUGGCAAUAAUUAUCUUUAAGGUGUUAGCUUUAAAUUUUAUCAAAAGACAUGCAUGUUCAGACAUUUUUCUGAUCAAUGAAAAAAGACUGAUUAGAAAACCAAGCAAAAGGGACUGUUUGGAGAAGAGACAGUUGGAUUUUUUUCUUUCUAAAUCAUUAAAUCCUGAAACCAAAAUUCUUUAGUAGCACAGAGAACUGAGUCUGUACUAUCUGGGCCCUCAUCAUGUCAGCAGAAAACAUUUGUGUGUAUAACAUUCAGUGGAAGGGAAGAUUGUAUGUUUAAUAUCAGCCAGCCUGACAUCAAAAGAAUGUGGCCUACAGGGUAUAGGAAAUAGACUUCAGCCAAAUUACAAAAAAGUUAAAGAACUGUCCUAGGACUUGAAAACCAAGUAAUAUGUAUCGAUUGAUUGCUGCUCAACCUGUGUUACCUGAACCCUGCUGACAAGCUAUUGAUACAACUGUUGAAUGUUAAUUUGUGACUCUACCACAGCUUGCUAUUGGCAAUGUACACAAAUUUGAAUUUUUAAAUGACUGUUUGACAAAACCCUACUGUGCAUGCAAUGGUGAUUUUAUGUUAUAGAGAAUAGUCCAUCUACUAUACAAAACAAAGAACAAGGGAAAGGUUGGCAAAGGCAUUCACAUGUUUAAUGAACUUGUGUUAUUUUAGGUCAUCUACUCAGAAUGGCAAAAACUGGUCUCAUAUGGCUAAUUCUAAAACAUCAUAGAAUUUCUAAGUAUCUUUCUUUCUAAAAAUUGAAACCUGAAGCAUGGUCAUAACCAACCCAAUGGAAUGCUAACAUUAUCCUCCUUCUGACAGGUAGAGGGAAUUGCAAACAAAAUUAAAAAUAAAUACUGGCACAGUGUAAGUGAUCUUAUUGCAGAACUGGAAUCAUUCAGGAUGCAUGGGACUGAUUCAUGCAGGAGAUCCACCCUCCUGCUUAAAGCAGGACCAGCUCUGUGAUCAGACUGGGCUGUUCACAUCUUCAUCUAGUCAGACAAGCCUCAAAGGACAGACAUUACCUGAGCUUUCCAGGCAUUCUGUUAGUUAUCCUUGGUUAGUGCCACAGUGAUUUUUUUUUUCCAUGUGUAAAGGUGGCAUCUCAAUUUUCCUUUUUUUUUUCUGCCAUGCCCAUCAAUAAGGAGUCUGGGUUCAUCUUGUUGGUAACCUGCCCUUAGCUACUGGAAAGAUGCUAUUAAAUCUCCACAAUGCCUUCUUGUCUUCAUGCCAGGCAAGCUUUUCUCUCAGCUUCUUCCCUCAUCUGUCAUUAUGCUCUAGUAAAUCACAUUUAAAAUGUGCAUAGAGAAUAGAAGUAUAAAAGUAAGAUAUAUAUGUAAUGAUUUAAAA
rnacentral:lncRNA from 1 species